AACAAUCCUACGGUUUGGAGAUCAGAACAGAGACGGAAGGGUGCAAGGGCGGCGUAAGGCAGGAUCAGAGGAAUUCAGACGGCGACAGGGGAGCUUUCUCCUUGUAGUCGACGAUGGCAGCGCUCUGGGAAGAGAUUGAUACGUGCGAGCUAGGCGUUCAUGGAGUCGGGUUGCAGCACCACCUUGCUGGGUGUGGGUGUCUCUUUCGGCCUAUUUGGCCUGACCCAAAAAAAAAAAAAAAAGAAAAGAACUAUUCACCCAACUAUGCUUCGACCAGAAGUGUUGUCGUCCACCUAACCACGCACUUCAAUUUAUGGAGUCAAUUUCGUAUUCACCCAACUAUGCUUCAAUGCCUUACAGCCAUGGCGGCCACCAUGUUUAAGCUCAUAAUACAGACCUUCAGCUGAGUUUAGGGAUCUUAUUUUUUUACACAUUGGGAUAUUAAAUUAUCUUUUAAUGGAUUUUUUUUACCUUUUUUUUUUGGUUCAUGGGUAGCCCCAUCGUUAACUGAUGCCACAAACGAGAACAAUUUCUGCCACAAAAACAAUUUAAGCAAUUAUGACAUAUGGGGUAGUUUUUAGAAUAUGUGU
rnacentral:lncRNA from 1 species